rnacentral:rRNA from 1 species
UACGUAGGUGGCAAGCGUUAUCCGGAUUUACUGGGUGUAAAGGGCGUGUAGCCGGGCUGACAAGUCAGAUGUGAAAUUCCGGGGCUCAACCCCGGACCUGCAUUUGAAACUGUUGGUCUUGAGUAUCGGAGAGGCAGGCGGAAUUCCUAGCGUAGCGGUGGAAUGCGUAGAUAUUAGGAGGAACACCAGUGGCGAAGGCGGAUUGCUAGACUGUAACUGACACUGAGGCACGAAAGCGUGGGGAGCAAAAAGG